rnacentral:rRNA from 1 species
UGAGGAAUAUUGGUCAAUGGGCGCAAGCCUGAACCAGCCAUCCCGCGUGAAGGAUGAAGGCCCUAUGGGUCGUAAACUUCUUUUAUACACCAAGAAAAAGCAGGACGUGUCCUGCCCCGACGGUAGCGUAUGAAUAAGCAUCGGCUAACUCCGUGCCAGCAGCCGCGGUAAUACGGAGGAUGCGAGCGUUAUCCGGAUUCAUUGGGUCUAAAGGGUGCGUAGGCGGCUUUUUAAGUCAGUGGUGAAAUCUUGCCGCUUAACGGUAAAAUUGCCAUUGAUACUGCUAAGCUUGAGUACAAUUGAGGUAAGCGGAAUGUGUAGUGUGGCGGUGAAAUGCUUAGAUAUUACACAGAACACCGAUUGCGAAGGCAGCUUACUGGACUGUCACUGACGCUGAUGCACGAAAGCGUGGGGAGCAAACA